GACGAACGCUGGCGGCGUGCUUAACACAUGCAAGUCGAACGGAAAGGCCCUUCGGGGUACUCGAGUGGCGAACGGGUGAGUAACACGUGGGUGAUCUGCCCUGCACUUUGGGAUAAGCCUGGGAAACUGGGUCUAAUACCGAAUAGGACCACGCGCUUCAUGGUGUGUGGUUGAAAGCUUUUGCGGUGUGGGAUGGGCCCGCGGCCUAUCAGCUUGUUGGUGGGGUAAUGGCCUACCAAGGCGACGACGGGUAGCCGGCCUGAGAGGGUGACCGGCCACACUGGGACUGAGAUACGGCCCAGACUCCUACGGGAGGCAGCAGUGGGGAAUAUUGCACAAUGGGCGCAAGCCUGAUGCAGCGACGCCGCGUGAGGGAUGACGGCCUUCGGGUUGUAAACCUCUUUCAAUAGGGACGAAGCGCAAGUGACGGUACCUAUAGAAGAAGCACCGGCCAACUACGUG
rnacentral:rRNA from 1 species